rfam:Nematostella vectensis strain CH2 x CH6 NEMVEscaffold_340_Cont24319, whole genome shotgun sequence.
AAAACGGCUCUUUUAGGAGCCACCACAUAGAGAAAAGUUCAAGUCA